rnacentral:rRNA from 1 species
GACGAACGCUGGCGGCGUGCUUAACACAUGCAAGUCGAACGAUGAAGCUAGAGCUUGCUCUGGUGAAUUAGUGGCGAACGGGUGAGUAACACGUGAGUAACCUGCCCCGAACUCUGGGAUAACUGCUGGAAACGGUAGCUAAUACUGGAUACGACCUACGAAGGCAUCUUCUGUAGGUGGAAAGAAUUUCGGUUCGGGAUGGACUCGCGGCCUAUCAGCUUGUUGGUGAGGUAAUGGCUCACCAAGGCGACGACGGGUAGCCGGCUUGAGAGGGUGACCGGCCACACUGGGACUGAGACACGGCCCAGACUCCUACGGGAGGCUGCAGUGGGGAAUAUUGCACAAUGGGCGCAAGCCUGAUGCAGCAACGCCGCGUGAGGGAUGACGGCCUUCGGGUUGUAAACCUCUUUUAGUAGGGAAGAAGCGAAAGUGACGGUACCUGCAGAAUAAGCACCGGCUAACUACGUGCCAGCCGCCGCCGUAA